UGGCGCCCGCCAGUCUCCAGCCCGGCGAGAGCGAGAGCCCGCCUCCGCAGGCGUUUCAAAUCAGACGCCUGCCUCUCAGCCCGACGCUCCGGGACAAGCAAAAAGCAAGUGAGCCUUUCCCGCGCAAAGUCCGGCGUGCCUCCAUGCUGGACCCUGAGGCGGGACACCCCAUGGAGAUGACCUUCAACAAGUGUCAGUGGUAUCAGCUGCAGGCAGCUUCCUGGAAAGCUGCUUUCCAGUGAGUUUAUUACCACCCUGGUGGGUGCCUUCCAGUCUCUCUCUUGGUCACUCUGAUGAACUGUGUGUUGUGUGCUGCUCUGGGGAGAGAGACAUGUGACAAGGAACGGAGGGCAGCGUCUGACCAACAUGCAGUGAGAAUCUGAGGUCCUCAGUCUGGGAACUUGUGAAGAACUAUAUCCUUAUCCUGAGAGCCUGAAGAUGAAACCAGAGUCCACACCUUGAUUAUAGCCUUGUGAGACACUUUGAGUUAGUGACACAGCAAAGCUGUGCUUAGAUUCCUGAUCUGCAGAAACUGUGAGAUAACAAAUAUUCUUGCUUAAAGCCACCAAGUUUUGUUAUGUAGCAGUGGAGAAUUGAUACAAAUAUAUCACAACAGUGUAUUUGUUUCCUGUGGCUGCUCUAACA